UACGGAGGUUGCAAGCGUUAUCCGGAUUCAUUGGGUUUAAAGGGUGCGUAGGCGGGACGGUAAGUCAGUGGUGAAAGCCUGCAGCUUAACGGUAGAAUUGCCAUUGAUACUGCUGUUCUUGAGUGCAGCUGAGGUGGGCGGAAUGUGUAGUGUAGCGGUGAAAUGCUUAGAUAUUACACAGAACACCGAUUGCGAAGGCAGCCCACUAAACUUUAACUGACGCUGAGGCACGAAAGCGUGGGGAGCAAACAGG
rnacentral:rRNA from 1 species